AUUUAAGCAUAUUAAUGAGGGGAGGAAAAGAAACUAACAAGGAUUUUCUUAGUAGCGGCGAGCGAAAAGAAAAAGUUCAGCACUAAGUCACUUUGUCUUAUGGCAAAUGUGAGAUGCAGUGUAUGGAAUGUCAAAUUUCUAGUAUGAGAAAUUAACGAUUUAAGUCCUUCUUAAAUGAGGCCAUUUACCCAAAGAGGGUGCCAGGCCCGUAUAACGUUAAUGAUUACUAGAUGGCAUUUCCAAAGAGUCGUGUUGCUUGAUAGUGCAGCACUAAGUGGGUGGUAAACUCCAUCUAAAACUAAAUAUAACCAUGAGACCGAUAGUAAACAAGUACCGUGAGGGAAAGUUGAAAAGAACUCUGAAUAGAGAGUUAAAUAGUACGUGAAACUGCUUAGAGGUUAAGCCCGAUGAACCUGAAUAUCCGUUAUGGAAAAUUCAUCAUUAUGAUUUUAAUAUUUAUAAUAUUAUAAUAAUGGUGUGCAUUUUUUCUAUAAAGGACAUUGUAAUCUAUUAACAGUUUAUUCAAAUUAUUUUGCUUGCAAUUUAACAUAGAAUAAAUGCUUUUGAUUUGAUAAAGUGUUGAUAGAUUUAUUAUAUAUAGUGCUUAAAUAUUUAUAUUUUAUAAUAGCAUAUUAAUCAUUGAUUUUUAUGUUUAUUAUAUGCACUUAUAUGAUUUACAAUGCGAAAGAUUCAGGAUACCUUCGGGACCGUCUUGAAACACGGACCAAGGAGUCUAACAUAUUUGCAAGUUAUUGGGAAUAAAAACCUAAUAGCGAAAUUAACAUAACUUUAAUGGGAUUAGUUUUUAGCCUAUUUAGUCUAUUAAUUCAAUCCCGGGGCGUUCUAUACAGUUAUGUAUAAUAAUAUUUAUAUUAUUUAUACCUCUAACUAGAGCGUACCUUGAGCAUAUAUGCUGUGACCCGAAAGAUGGUGAACUAUACUUGAUCAGGUUGAAGUCAGGGGAAACCCUGAUGGAAGACCGAAACAGUUCUGACGUGCAAAUCGAUUGUCAGAAUUGAGUAUAGGGGCGAAAGACCAAUCGAACCAUCUAGUAGCUGGUUCCCUCCGAAGUUUCCCUCAGGAUAGCUGGUGCAUUUAAAAAUUAUGUAAAAUAAUCUUAUCUGGUAAAGCGAAUGAUUAGAGGCCUUAGGGUCGAAACGAUCUUAACCUAUUCUCAAACUUUAAAUGGGUAAGAACCUCACCUUUCUUGGUAUGAAGGUUGUGGUUGUGAUAUAAUGUGCCCAGUGGGCCACUUUUGGUAAGCAGAACUGGCGCUGUGGGAUGAACCAAACGUAAUGUUACGGUGCCCAAAUUAACAACUCAUGCAGAUACCAUGAAAGGCGUUGGUUGCUUAAAACAGCAGGACGGUGGACAUGGAAGUCGUAAUCCGCUAAGGAGUGUGUAACAACUCACCUGCCGAAGCAACUAGCCCUUAAAAUGGAUGGCGCUUAAGUUGUAUACCUAUACAUUACCGCAAAGUAGAUGGUUUAUAUUCAAUCUCGGUUGGAUUUUAAACUUUGAAACUUUAGUGAGUAGGAGGGUACAAUGGUAAGCAUAGAAGUGUUUGGCGUAAGCCUGCAUGGAGCUGCCAUUGGCACAGAUCUUGGUGGUAGUAGCAAAUAAUCGAAUGAGACCUUGGAGGACUGAAGUGGAGAAGGGUUUCGUGUGAACAGUGGUUGAUCACGAGUUAGUCGGUCCUAAGUUUAAGGCGAAAGCCGAAAAUUUUCAAGUUAUAAUGAAUAAUAAUAAAACACUUGAAUAAUUUUGAACGAAAGGGAAUACGGUUCCAAUUCCGUAACCUGUUGAGUAUCCGUUUGUUAUUAAAUAUGGGCCUUGUGCUCAUCCUGGCAACAGGAACGACCAUAAAGAAGCCGUCGAGAGAUAUCGGAAGAGUUUUCUUUUCUGUUUUAUAGUCGUACUACCAUGGAAGUCUUUCGAAGAGAGAUAUGGUAGAUGGACUAGAAGAGCAUGACAUUUACUGUUGUGUCGAUAUUUUCUCCUCGGACCUUGAAAAUUUAUGGUGGGGUCACGCAAACUUCUCAACAGGCCGUACCAAUAUCCGCAGCUGGUCUCCAAGGUGAAGAGUCUCUAGUCGAUAGAAUAAUGUAGGUAAA
rnacentral:rRNA from 1 species